AACAUUAAUUGUAACAAUAAGAACAUCAACAAGUAAGAUUCUGUAUAUGCUUCGUGUGGCCCAGGGCCAGAGCCGUGAGUCAGGCGCAGCUGUCAGGGCAGGUGCUCCCGAGGCAGGACCGGCGUGUCCGCCGUGCAAGGAGCGCUGGGCACAGGAGGGCGGGUGUGCUCGAGUGUCACAGCCGCUCCAGGAAGUCGCUGGGACUCCAGUCCAGUCCGCUCCAGAGCCCGUGCUCUGCCCCCAGCCUCCCCAGUGGCCCGGCACGCUGGCCCUCCGCUGGCACCUGCAGGCCUGGUUACAGUUGCGAUGAGGAAUCAGGCAGGGGUGCCAUUGUUCUCUAACAGUCCUCUGUUAAAAAAGAAUAAAGCACUUGUUUUGUGGCAUGUCAGUCUGCUCGGGCUGCCAUAGGGAAUGCCAUAGACUGGGUGGCCCAGACCACAGAAAUUUGUUUCUCAUAGCUCUGGCGCCGGAAGUCUGGGAGCAGGGUGCUGGGAGCAGGGUGCCCGCCGCAGGCACCGCGAGGCCCUGCCUGGCUUGCGCAGGGCUACCCUGUCGCUGAGCCCUGACGGGUGGAGGAAGCUCUUCCUUCCUGUCAGGCUAUGGCCCCACUCUUACUAGCUCAUCACCCUUCAGUCCUCUGGAAGCCUCGUCUCCAGGUACGGCCGUAUUCGGGGCUAGGGCUUCAACGUAUGGAUUCGAGGGGAGGGGAGAGGCAGUCUAGGCCAUAGCAUGCUGUUAGUUUAUUUCAGAAAUAAAUGAACUGGAAUCCUAAUUUAAGUCAGGACCGUGAUAUCUAAAGGCAGGAACCCAGCCUUUAACAGUUUGGCUUUCUCGUGGUGUCUAGAACCACAUGCCACCUUGUAAGCAACACUGGCACUGUUCAGAUGGGCACGAGCUCCAUGCCCUUGACGAAGUCCUGUCCACUUGGAAAUAGCCAGGUCCUAGACUUUGCUGGGGAAGGUGUUUCUAAAACCACAGCAGCCACGGGCCACUUGCUAACCAUGGUGAAGAUAAUCACACCAGUGUGGGUCUGGUUCCCAGAUGGAUGGCAUAACACAUUGCAGAAACUACAAUAUUUUUCUCUUUGAGACUUGCUCAGCAACUGUGUGGAAUCCUGUUGAUUGGUUUGCACUUGAGUUUUUAUACUCUGAUAAAGAGAGGGAGGGAAGAUGUGUUGAGUUCUGCCACAUGUGGGCCUUUACAAACGUUAGCUCCUCCACUCCUGUCACUGCCUCUUGUUGCUUUGCAGUUAGGAGCUUCGAGGUAGACAGACUUGCAAGGUCACCUGUGUCACAGCUGGGAGGGAGCCCAGAGCUGUCACUCAUGCUCCUGUGCUUUCUGUAACACCCUGCAGAUUCCUAAAGGAGGUUUUCUUUGUAAAACAAAAUUCCAUUUACAAAAACAGAUAUCCAAAAUUCACUGUCUGUUCCAAUCUGAGUGGAAAAGGUCGAUGCUGGUUAAUAAUCCUAUUAGAAUGGAUUUUUCCCUUUGAACUUGGCCAAUCUGUUGAUUUUCUGGCGUUAAGAAAAAAAAAAAACAGUCUUUCCUUGCUCAGUCAUGUUCUGCCUCUGCUUUUCCUUGUUAAUGGGUGUACUCAAGUGUGUGGGCAAUGUUCUCCACAUAGUAACACCCUGUGCUAAUGAUGAGCUCACUGUCUACGUGGCUGUAUUUAGGACAGAGGCAAUUUGGUGUAAAUCCUGCAUGAGAAAUUCAACAAGAACAAAAAGCUUCAGAGAAAAACAUUUCUGCAGCCUGCCCAAGUCCCUUUGUCUUGGUAACCAUGGUUUCUGGGCAAACUAAGAGAACACUCAGGAAAGAUUUUCUUGUAAAUAAAGAAGCUGAAACAAAGGGCCUCGAAUAGCUGUAAAAUGAUAAGCACAUUUGUUUUCAUUUUUUAUUUAUAAUACUAGCAUAUGGGAACUUACAAUAAAAUAUAUUAAAAUAUCCCCUCCAAUUAAACAAAUGACAACAAGACCCACUGCUGCGGCAGAGGGCCUGGCAGGAAAAGAGGAGAAGGAGGCCACUGAGGUCUAGGGCAGAGCUGACCUGGCCUGCAUCCCCCUUGGCCCAAGACAGUCUUGGGCCUCAGUCAGGAGGCGCUGGCUCUGAUGGGAGCCAGGGCGCCGUGCUUCGACUCGACGCUGCUGCUCAGUGCCAGGCCACAUCUCUCCGAGUGUCUUCUCGUAACAUGGGGUGAUAAUUUUUAUGUCAGCGGGCAAUGUGAGACUCCACUUCAGGAAUGUGUGCGUAUGAAAGUCCCUGGGGAACUCGAACUACAGAAAUGGUGCUUGUUUGCUGUAUUUAUUAGACCAAGCAAGAACCCACCUAGUGGCUUGGGAGCUCUCCAGGGUGCUGAAAGAGUGUCCUACACGUUCCACAAAUCUGCAUAGUCUGUGCAUAGGAGUGAGCUAUGAGUAUGAAUGCCAUCGAGCACCUGCUGUGUGCCUGGUGCCUGGCUUCCAUUUGCAACAUUCUCUCAUGAACUCAUGUGCUCACUGCCCUGGCUUUUUGCUUUGGCUGGGCCCGGGCUCUGCCCUCCUGCUCCUUAAGCCCCUGACGCCAGGUGCUGCCGUGACCUGUGUGUGGCCAGACCGCUGUCCUUUGGCCCCUAGCACAUCCUGCCUGCAUGGAGAAAGGCCGCCAGCCAGCCUGCUGGACCGCUGACUUGCUCUGUCUCCUGGCCUCAGGAAGCCUGAGAUGGCACGUGAGGGAGCAUCGAAAACUGAAAGCUAAAAUAGUCGAAACGGGUUUUUAUGGCCACAUUUUUGUUAUUCACCACUGUUUUUGUCAUGUAUGUAUUUGGUUCAGGAAAAAGUGAGCCCUGAGUACGGGGCCAUUCAGACUGUCACUCUAUAACCCCCAAUCCUUGUGAUUAGUUGUUGCAGUUUUUAUAUACGGUCAGCCUCCUCCGCUGAGCUGUGAGCUUGGAGGCAGGGCCUGUGUGUUAUUCGGCCGUCAAGGCUCCGAGCAUGGCUUGGGUCCUGACUGUAGUGAGGACCCCGUCACUGCUGAUGAAGCAAGAGUGAAGUGAAGAGCGAGUCUGUCACUUGGACUUCCUGCCGGUGAGCCGGCUUCCAUGGGAGAGGACUCCAUGUGCCGUCAGGGCAGCCCGCCAUCCAUUGCUAAGCGCCUACUGGCGCCCGGCUGUGUUCUCAGAGCUGCAUGCACAUUAACACACACGAUCCUCGCUGCAAACCAUGAGGUGGGGACUAUGAUCCCAUUUUAUAAGUGGGGAAACUAAGGCACUGGGCUGUUAAUAGUUCACGAAAGGCACACAACAGGUAAGUGGCAAAGCUGAGAUGGGAACCCGGGCGGAGCAUCAGUCCAACUCAGAUGUCAACCCUCUGCCCACUGAGCACCCCGUGCUGAGGCUUCGUCUUGUCCACUAGGAACUGAGAGACUGAAACCUUGGGUUGCUUUUUGGAAUGUACCCAAUGACCGUGUGAAGUCUGGAUGGGAGGGAGGAUCCUGGCUCCUGCGCCUGCUGGGUAAUGCUGCAACAGUCAUUGCAUCUCCCCCAUCUGCAGGGGAUGGUCAUUCCUGUUCUGCAGAGAUGCCGGGAGGUUGGAGGCCAUCUGUGUGAAGCUCAGAGGACCCUGCUGGUGUAUGGUCCUGUUGCUGUAUGCUGUGACCUGAAUGUGGUCAGUCAUGCUGACAAUCUUGAGGUUUUCCUAUAUGAUAUUUCUGUUGCAGAAAAGGAAAGGGGGCUGGCCUAAAGGCAAGAAAAGGAAAACCCCAAGGGAUCUUUCCGUUCCCUGGGCUCCUACAACAGGGUAAGAUGUGGGGAGGUUACUCUGACCCCUUGUUAAAGUCAUGUUCAGGGCUCACCACGUGGCCUGUGGCAGCCAUGAUCCCAUCUUAGCCUUUAUCUGUUCUUUUAGGGCCCUCACGCCAUGGGAGUGUGGGCUAGGCUGUUUCAUUCUAUGUGCUGUAAUAAGGUUUUGACUCUGGAAGGGAAAGGACAGAAUAGGUGGGGUCACUGCCAGGAAGGGGGUGGGUUUGGGGACAUUGGGCCUGCUUUCCAUUCCAGGCUCGAGAACACAGCUGCUCUGUGGCCUUGGGCAAGUUUGAGCAAGCCGGGUGACCUUCACUGAGGCUCGAGGUCCCCUUCCCCUGCCUCUUGUACUACAGAAUAGCCACUGGCCAUUGCUCUGAGGGUCACCUUGCUCCCUCUUGAAGCUUGUGCACUUUUCCCUUUGUCCUCAGGGCUCGCACAGCUCCGGAGUUGAGGGUCUCUUUUCAGUAUUCCCAUAACUCAUACGGCUGGGCCUUUUGGUCUGAAGACUGGCUUGGCCACAGCCUUUUUUCAUCUCCCUGUAAACAAGUCCUUAAUCAUGAGGGUGUGAGGACCUCUACCUGGAGCAUUAGGCUACAUGCAGCCCUGUGAGCAGCUGGCAUUACAUCCAUUAUGCAGAGGGGGAAACUGAGGCUUAGGUGGGUUAAGCGAUGUGUCCCCUGCUAGACACGCCCAUCCAGUCUUCGUAUUACCUCCUGCUCAGUGGGGAUACCCUUGUCUGGUUUCUUGGCCUUUCAUCAGACUCUAGAUAAACCAGCCAUUUAAGUAUUUUCCUCUCUUAAAUUAACCUCCAUUUCUCUGGUUAUAUUGAACAAUAUGGGCAAACCUGUGACUAUUUGUAAGAAAACCAGGAAGUGGAACUAGCUGCCCCGGCUGCUGACUUCCUUCCCAGCUGCUUGCUCAGAGCUUUGUGUAUGUUCUUUUUAUGGCACAGGUAUGUGCCGUUCCUGAACGAGCAGAGAAGUCAGCUGAGGGCCGCACACCCCGAUCUGCCUUUUACGGAAAUAACAAAGAUGCUGGGUGCACAGUGGGCUCAGUUGUCUCAAGAGAAAAAGCGAGUUCGUAAGUAAGCCAUUGUUGUGAAUGUUACUUGCAUGGCAAGUACCCUCAGGGAACACUUUCACCUCCACCUCUGGUUGACCUGGGUUUACCAACAGCCAUCCGUGAGCAUCUGAAACACCAGCUGGGGGCCAGCCUCUGCAGCCACAGGGCCCUGCACAGAGUAAGUGCUGAUGUUUGCAUGAGCAAUAAUCGAAUAGAAGUCUAAUGCCCCCUAAGAGGGAGCUGACAGUGCUGCCUUCUCUGCACUCAUCAGCCCACACCCUACAGGAUGGUGGAAGCCACAGGAUGGUGGCAGAAUCCAGUUGACUGUAAGGAAAACUCGCAACAUCUAUGCCAUUCAAACAAGGCAUGAACUUACUUGUAGGUAGUGAGGUCCCCGUCCCUGGAGAUAUACAAGCAGAAGCUGAGCAGUGGCUUCUUGGGACCAACCUAAAGAGUCCCAGGGAGGUUGGACAAGAGGACAUCCAGCAGCCCCAGCCCCCCCAGCCCAGAUCUGGAGAGUCUCAACCUCGGCACCUUCUUCCAGAGUGUGCGUGUGAGGCCAACCAGGACAAGCAGUGCUGCAUCCACAAGGUGCAGGCCUACCAGAGCUCAGCAGCUUACCGAGCCUUCCUGCGCAGGCGCGCCACCCACCAGGCUCUGUGCGGUGAGUAGGUGGGUGGGCACUGCCCCCCCGCGGGCCCCAGGGGGUCCACACUGCGGAGGGUGUGUGGAGACCCUCAGUGUGAACCACCUCUGCCACUCAGGCCGGGUGCCUUGCCUAAAAAACCUGGUCCCUCCCUGCCCAAAGCGGCUGGCUAUGGUCUUCCUUUGGGCCAGAACGAAGCCCCUCCUGAGCCAGAUGAGGGGUCAGAGCAUCUCGCGCCUGCUCCAGAGGCUCUGAAGACAGGCGGGCUGGGCCAGUGGGGCUUGUUAGUACUUGGAAAAGGGGAGGCAACUGCAGCUCUGGACACGCCGCUUCCCAGGCGCCACGCGAUCGCCUUCACUGUGACAGUACCUUCUCCUCAAGGCUCGGUGCAGUUGAUGGGUUAAACCAUGGAGAGGUCUGCACCCCAUGCCUGGCCCGUGGUAAGUGCUCAGCAAGUGCUCACACUUGGUGGCCCUCCCUUUGCUCUGGGCACAGCGCCCCAACCCUGGCUUCAGACAAAGCAGGGGUCAGCAAGCUCUUCCUGUAGAGGGAUAGAGAGUAUGUUAGGCUUUGUGGCCAUGUGGUCUCUGUUACAACCAUUCAACUCUGCGUUUGCAGCGGGAAAGCAGCCAUAGACAAUGGGUAAGCAAAGGGUGUGGCUGUGUGCUAAUAAAACUUAUUUGCAAGAACGUAGGGGCAGAGCUGUUCCAUUGGCAGGUCCGCCCAGGCCCACUGUGCUUGCCGGGUUUCCACCUAACAUUUGCUUUCCGUCGAGUGCCUGCAGACAAACAUAAUCGACUGGGCACCUUUCGUCCGGGCGCAGGGCUUAGCAGCGGCUCGGACGCACCACGGGGCAGGCCUGCUCUGCUGCAGGUGCUGCGCCUGCGCGUGAGCUCUGCAGCGUGCGCCCAGAGAGCGGCCAUCCUUCCUACUCACGUUGUCCCCCAAAAUGCCAUUUGUCCAGGUUUGGCUGAGGACGCCUCCUCUUGCUUGAUUCUUCACACACGCUGAGGCCCUGUGGCCUUCUUAUUUUUGUGAUUGUUUGUAAAUCAUCAGCAGCAAAACCCUGGUGUGUUACAAGGAAAGCCACUCCAACACAGCUUGGUUUUUAAACAAAUGAAAUGUGUCACUGCCUUAUCUAAAACAAAGUAAUUUUUAGUUUACUAUAUAAAAAUAUAAUAACAAUAUGCUUUUUAAAAAAUAUCACCUAUUAAACAGAAUCUGCCAUGCUCAAAAUUGAACUGUUUUCAUUUUUUCUUGUUUCUCUCUAAUCUUCAUGCUAUGCCUAGCCAGGUGUGUAUAAACUGACAUCAGAGGUACUUGGUGUUUCCUCUUGGUUUGGGGGUUUUUCAGGCCUUAGCUGAGGUCAAGGUGUUGACCCUCCAGCAGGUGACAGGGAGACAAUGUUUGCUGUCAAAGCGGGCGUUUCUGGCCCUCUCAUUGAUGCCCCCAAGUAAGCUGAGCCCUGUUCUGAGACAAGUUCUGUUUUAACCGAUAACCUUUGU